CGAGGGGCAGCAUGGUCUUAGCUUGCUAAGGCUGAUGGCGACCGGCGCACGGGUGAGUAACACGUAUCCAACCUGCCGUCUACUCUUGGCCAGCCUUCUGAAAGGAAGAUUAAUCCAGGAUGGGAUCAUGAGUUCACAUGUCCGCAUGAUUAAAGGUAUUUUCCGGUAGACGAUGGGGAUGCGUUCCAUUAGAUAGUAGGCGGGGUAACGGCCCACCUAGUCAACGAUGGAUAGGGGUUCUGAGAGGAAGGUCCCCCACAUUGGAACUGAGACACGGUCCAAACUCCUACGGGAGGCAGCAGUGAGGAAUAUUGGUCAAUGGGCGAUGGCCUGAACCAGCCAAGUAGCGUGAAGGAUGACUGCCCUAUGGGUUGUAAACUUCUUUUAUAAAGGAAUAAAGUCGGGUAUGCAUACCCGUUUGCAUGUACUUUAUGAAUAAGGAUCGGCUAACUCCGUGCCAGCAGCCGCGGUAAUACGGAGGAUCCGAGCGUUAUCCGGAUUUAUUGGGUUUAAAGGGAGCGUAGAUGGAUGUUUAAGUCAGUUGUGAAAGUUUGCGGCUCAACCGUAAAAUUGCAGUUGAUACUGGAUGUCUUGAGUGCAGUUGAGGCAGGCGGAAUUCGUGGUGUAGCGGUGAAAUGCUUAGAUAUCACGAAGAACUCCGAUUGCGAAGGCAGCCUGCUAAGCUGCAACUGACAUUGAGGCUCGAAAGUGUGGGUAUCAAACAGGAUUAGAUACCCUGGUAGUC
rnacentral:rRNA from 1 species